GUAGGGAAUCUUCGGCAAUGGACGAAAGUCUGACCGAGCAACGCCGCGUGAGUGAAGAAGGUUUUCGGAUCGUAAAACUCUGUUGUUAGAGAAGAAUGUUGAUUAGAGUGGAAAAUUAAUCAAGUGACGGUAUCUAACCAGAAAGGGACGGCUAACUACGUGCCAGCAGCCGCGGUAAUACGUAGGUCCCGAGCGUUGUCCGGAUUUAUUGGGCGUAAAGCGAGCGCAGGUGGUUUAAUAAGUCUGAUGUAAAAGGCAGUGGCUCAACCAUUGUGUGCAUUGGAAACUGUUAGACUUGAGUGCAGUAGAGGAGAGUGGAAUUCCAUGUGUAGCGGUGAAAUGCGUAGAUAUAUGGAGGAACACCGGUGGCGAAAGCGGCUCUCUGGUCUGUAACUGACGCUGAGGUUCGAAAGCGUGGGUAGCAAACAGGAUUAGAAACCCUUGUAGUCC
rnacentral:rRNA from 1 species